UACGUAGGUGGCAAGCGAUACUCGGAAUCACUAGGCGUAAAGCGCAGGUAGGCGGUUUGGUAAGUCUUUUGUGAAAGCUCCCGGCUUAACUGGGAGAGGCCAAGGGAAACUACCAGGCUAGAGUGUGGCAGAGGAAGCUGGAAUUCCCGGUGUAGCGGUGAAAUGCGUAGAUAUUGGGAAGAACACCGGUGGCGAAGGCGGCGACCUGGUCCUUGACUGACGCUGAGGCGCGAAAGCGUGGGGAGCAAACAGG
rnacentral:rRNA from 1 species